GACGAAUGCUGGCGGCGUGCUUAACACAUGCAAGUCGAACGGAAAGGCCCUGCUUGCCGGGUACUCGAGUGGCGAACGGGUGAGUAACACGUGGGUGAUCUGCCCUGCACUUCGGGAUAAGCCUGGGAAACUGGGUCUAAUACCGGAUAGGAGCCAUUUUUAGUGUGAUGGUUGGAAAGUUUUUUCGGUGUAGGAUGAGCUCGCGGCCUAUCAGCUUGUUGGUGGGGUAAUGGCCUACCAAGGCGGCGACGGGUAGCCGGCCUGAGAGGGUGGACGGCCACAUUGGGACUGAGAUACGGCCCAGACUCCUACGGGAGGCAGCAGUGGGGAAUAUUGCACAAUGGGCGCAAGCCUGAUGCAGCGACGCCGCGUGGGGGAUGACGGCCUUCGGGUUGUAAACUCCUUUCGCUAGGGACGAAGCUUUUGUGACGGUACCUGGAUAAGAAGCACCGGCUAACUACGUG
rnacentral:rRNA from 1 species